CUUACACUCCCUCUGUUCGGAAUUAUUUGUCACAAAAAAGGAUGUAUCUACAACUAAAAUACAUCUAGAUACAUUCAUUUCUUGGACGAGUAAUUCCGAACGGAGGGAGUAUUUA
rnacentral:pre_miRNA from 1 species